GGAGUCUGGGCCGUGUCUCAGUCCCAAUGUGGCCGUUCAACCUCUCAGUCCGGCUACUGAUCGUCGGCUUGGUGAGCCGUUACCUCACCAACUACCUAAUCAGACGCGAGCCCAUCUCUGAGUGAUAAAUCUUUGGUAGUAAAAUCAUGCGGUUCUACUACGUUAUGAGGUAUUACCAUCCGUUUCCAGAAGCUAUCCCUCUCUCAGAGGCAGGUUGCUCACGUGUUACUCACCCGUCCGCCACUAAGAAUACAAAGCAAGCUAAGUAUUCUCCGUUCGACUUGCAUGUGUUAGGCGUGCCGCCAGCGUUCGUC
rnacentral:rRNA from 1 species